rnacentral:snoRNA from 1 species
AUCCUUUUGUAGUUCAUGAGUGUGAUGAUUGGGUGUUUCCGCACUUGUGUGACAUGUGCCUCCUGGAGCCUUGUUACAAACUCGACUGACG